GACAACAAAAAGAAUGGGCAGCCUCGUCUCUUCUAGAACAACAAAAAAUUCCUAAUUCCUAAGGCUAAGAGCUGGACAGCCGCAUUUUCCAAAAUAUCUCUCACACACACACGCGGAAGAAGAAACAGAGGCGAAAGAACGAGUAGCUGCUAGUCAUUUUUUAGGUUGCUAGCGAGGUCCCUUCCAUGGGCGAUGGCAAAUUCUUCGGUCGAAAGUUCCAUAAUCUUCAAGUUGGUGUAAUUUUAAUUCAAAUUCAUCUAUAAAGGUACCAUUCACUCCUUCCUGUCAUCAUAUUCCUUUGGUUGUGUUGGUUCUCAAGAUUGUAACUUUUCACUCUUUGUUGCUCUAUUGAAUUCUAUUGGAUCUUUGUCUUUUUCUUACUUUUAUGGGAUUUUACAAGGUUGGUAUUCAUUUUUGGUUACCUUUUAUGCCAUGUUUGGUUGUUCUUGAAUUGUUUGGUGAUUGUCACUUGUCAGUGUAAAGAGUUAUGAUGGUUAAAAUUCUGAAAAGCAAGAAUUGAAAAUUGUCAUAUGGGUCGUCUUACUUUUUCCUCACAUUUAUGUGUUUUGUCGUUUUACUUGAGGAUUUUUUGGAAGAACGUGAUUUGUUUGGGAAGGUUUUUUUAGUAUGGAAGUUUUGUAGGCUUGGAUUUAUGCUUGUGUAGCUUGUCUUCCCCUUGUUGAUUCAACCUAAAAUACCAGAUUUCUUGUGCAGUUUUGAAAGCUCCUCGGUAAUUUACUCGCAUGCUACUCGAAUUGGUAAUAGCUGAAUAUGAUUUUGUCACAGUAUAGAAAUUGGGUUGCUAUUCAUCAACUAAACUACGUCAAAUUAGAUUAAAGGGACAUGGGAGUGCAUUUCAUGUGACCCUGUCAUAAUUUUGAUUAAUAAUAAUAAAAUAAGCACGUUGUAAAUCGCGGGUGCAUUUCAUGUAACGCGGUUUGCAAUGCGUACCAAAACGACAAGUAUACGACAUAGUGCCUUGUUCCAGAAAAUAAUUCCAUAAAUAUUAAAGGCGGCUAAUAAGUUAAAAAUGUACCAUAGGCUACAACAUGUAUUAAAAUCAGAUAAUAGGCCAAUUAUGAUAGUUUAAGCGACCGUGCUAGAACCACGGAACUCGGGAAUGUCUAACACCUUCUCCCGGGUUAACAGAAUUCCUUACCCGGAUUUUUGGUUCGCGGACUGUGAUACAGAGUCAUUCUUUCCUCGAUUCAGGAUUUGAACCGGUGACUUGGGACACCAUAAAUUAUCCCAAGUGGCGACUCUGAAUUUGAAUAAAAUAAUCUCAUUUCGAUUGUCAUUUUAAGUUGGAAAAAAACUCCCUUGUCCUACCCUUCCGGGGGUGUAGUGAAAAAGGAGGUGUGACAAUGACUACGCACCUUAAGGGGAGUUUGGAAUGAUUUGGGAAUGUUAGUGAUUGGUGAUCAGGGUCUACGGAUUUAAAUUGAAGUAUGGGCUAUUAUGCGGUAGGAGAUUUGGUAUAACGGAAAAGAGCUGCUCGAAAUGAAGAAAUAUACAACAUAACUUUGAAUUGGAUGGAUGUUGCCGCUCAUUUAAUUGAUAACCACGAGGGGUGGAUGGACUUGUGCAGCUAGAGGGUGAGCUCAGACUCAGGAUAGGUUAUUGAUGACGUAGUGAUUGUAUCUCGUGCAGCAGUGUUGGAAGAUGUCGGCACGUAAAUUCCAUAGGUGGAUUAUCUCCAGUGAGCAGAUUGGCGGUCACAUGGUUGGCGAAGCUUGUGCGAAGAAUUCUAUGGGUUAUACAGCAAAGAGAUCGGUCGUGCGAAUGUGGUUGAUGAUUCAGAGUAUAAAAAGGGGUUUUACAGAAAGAUUUCGAGAAUUUUGGCGGUUGAUUGCGCAAGGUUAUGUCAAUAAGAGAGAGAGAAUCCUGGUGAAUCUCACAGGUGCGUAAUAGUGGCUUCAAGCUAAGUGGGAGAAUCCCACCGCCUAUGAUUGGGUUGCAUGGUUAACUAGUUACGAUGUUUCUGGUUAGUAGCAUAUUGAUGGGUUAUUUCAGCUACGGGAAAGGAACAUAAGUGGUAAUUUGAGCAAAGGGAUUAUUAAAUGUGUGCUAUGGUAGGCCUUGUUGGCUCAUUUUAGACUUGGGAAAGGAUUCAGGAUAUAUGCCUUAUAUAGAUGUGGGUUUCAAGAGAACUAAUUCUGUCGGGUGCUUCGCCGAGAGGGUAUUCAUGUGCUAGAAGAUUCAUAGAGUCGAUUAUAUUCGGGGCCGAGUCAGAGCGGGUGGCUUAUGAGAAGAGGCCCAGAAUAUUCUAUGAUGUUUUGACUUGCAGUGUAGCAUUUGGGAGGUAUGAAAUGGUUCAUGGGAUUUGAGACAGCAUGGUCUCAUGAUUCAAGGUCACUCGGGAUGAGUGCAGAUGGAGUGUGUAUGUAUUGAAUAGAGUUAUUAUUUUUUCUAAGGAAAUCUAGGAUAAAUUGAAAAGAAGAUAGGUUGGUUAGCCAUAGUUGAAUUGGCAUAUUACUGGUAGUGAUCAAUUCCUGCAGCGGGACCAAGUUAUGCAAGUGAUUUGUGACGAUACGUGUGAGGCCGGUCGGCCGCCGUAAGUGAUAUUAUUCAGAAGUAUUCUACUGUUAUGGCCCAUCAUGUGUAGGCGGAUCCCGGAAGGGCUAUGGUGGCUUAGACCACCACUUGGAUAUUUGCAUAUUCCACGGUUAUGAGAAUUCACCUGUGUGUUGCUAUGAUUCUCCUGAAGUGAGUUAAGUGAAAAGUUUUUAUAUGAUGAAGUGUUAAUCAAUUAGUGGUUCCAAAGUUAUGAUGAAGAUCGUGUUCUAUCGUAAAUUGGCAUGUUGGGUGCAGGGAGUGGUAUGGAAUUUGAAGAGAGGAUUAGUGUUGCAGUUCGGUGUUGACAAGGAUGUCACGAGCUCGAAUGAGCAGGAAAGGAGUUUCGAUAUUUAAAGUAAGUUGGUAUUGUCUUCAGCGUCACCUGAGAUCGAUGUUUUGUGAAAAAGGCUUUGCAUCCUGGUUAAGGAUUCUUGAUCGCUUUUCAGUAUUAGUGCGGCCGGUGGUUUGGAUGUACAGACCUGUCAUCUAUUAUGGAAGGUUGUGGGAGUGUGCCCCACGGGAAAGUUGUAUAAGUGUGGCAUGUAGUCACUUGAUCGAUUGAAGAUUUAAACCAAGUAUGAAGAUUAUAGUGAUGUCGUUAAAUUGAGAAUUGAUGCCUGGAGGGCACUCGGUUUAUUGGGUUGGGGACUGUGGAGGAUUACUCCGGUUAUGAUGGUUGUUCUUGUGUUUUAUGAGAAAAGGGGAGUUAUUAUGGACCUUUGAAAGGUUAUUAGCUUAGUUCAGUGCGAUCAGAUCAGCUUGAGGUCUGUGGAUGGAUUUAAAUAUGAAUAUGGGCUCGAUAUCAGUUAUUUCAUGUAAUGAUAUAUUGCGCCGUGUGAGUUGUGAGACGGCUUGGUGAAUUUCUUAUGUGUUGAGGUUCUACAUAGAGAUGAUGUUAUAUGAGCAGAAUGGCUCUUGAGAUUCAGAUCGUAUAUUGCACCUCAGUUAUGCUUGAGUUGUAGCUUACAGUGCUAUAUGUCUCCCCAGGGAUGGUAUUAUGCACUUAGCGUGCUUGUGACCGACAUUCGGUAUAUUGUUGUUAUGAGCAAUCUGGCACGGUGUGUAUCUCCUUAUGUGAAUUUUAUGGGUGGAUCGGGUUGCACGCCGCCAUGGGUAUGUUGUCUGGAUCGGGUUGCGCACCGCAACAGUGUGAUGUUGAGUACAGUUACCUAUAUCUAUUUUUAUGCAUUUUGUUUCCUAUUUUUCUGAGGAACACUCAUAUUAGUUGUGUGCCCGCAUCGCAUCUAUGAUUUGCGAGCGGGGUGUCUGUUCAAUUAUGUUGACUGUGUUGCAUGUAUGAUUCGCGAACGGGGUAAUUGGAUUUCCUUUCAGAGUUCGUUUCCCUUAUGUAUCAUGUUCGAAUUGGUAGCCUAUUGGCACAUUGUGGCAUCAUAUGAGACUUUUGAUCAUGUUUGGGGUGGCUUAUUACCUGAGCAGUUCAUACUGGGUGAGACGAGAUCAUUGGAUUUAGGAUCAUUGCAAUCUGAUUAUAUGAAGUAUAUUAAGGAGCAAAGACCAUAUUUGGUUUAGAAUGAGGUGAUGGUUACUGUCAAGAGUAUUACCCAAUGAAUUGUUGAUUCGGCAGUUGGUUAUGAAUUUCUAUACAUCUCUUUCAUCGUGGCGGUAUUGUAAGAGUUAGAGCAAGACUUAUAUAUAUAUCAUGAGGUGUAUUGGGAGCAUCAGAUUCGUGGAAUUUCGACUAAUUUGAUCAGAGAAUGUUGUUGUGGUCCUGUGAGUAAAGUGGUGUAAGGUGCGAAUUCGACUAAGGUAUGCAGUCAUGUUUUGGUGUUGCGUGUAGUUAUUGAUACGGUGAGCGUAUGUUGGAAACAGGCCUGGCAUAGAAUUCUGGAUGUUGGAAUUGGGCUCUAAGGCUUAUUUGCUUUAAUAAAAGAGAAUAUCUUCAGAAUUGAUCGAGCUAAUGUGUUCAAUUGAGUUGUGGUAGCACGGGUAGGUGCACGAGGUGUUAAAUAGUGAUUUCAGACUACUUCAGUGUAGUUCUCAUUACAUUCGAGGACGAACAUAUGUUUAAAUGGGAGAGAAUGUAACGACCCGACCGGUUGUUUUGAGCGCUAGCGCAUCGUUUAGCAGUUUGAGGCCAUGAACAGCUUCACUUCAGGUAUUAUGAUUGUACGCAUCGUUGGAAUUGAAUUUCGGAAAGUUCGAAGUUGAUUUGGAAAGAGAAUUCUUAUUUCGGAAGCUUUAAGUUGAAAGAAUUGACUAAGAUUGGAUUUCAGAGUAAACGACCUCGGAAUCGGGAUCUGAAGGUUCCAGUAGGUUUGUAUGAUGAUUUCAGACUUGGGCGUAUGCUCGGAUCGGGUUUUGGAUGAUCCAGGAGCUUUUUGACGCCUAUUGUGGAAUUUAGCAUUUUGGAAGAAAUUCCAUAAGUUUGGUUGAAGUGCAUUUCAGUGUUAUCGAUGUCUGUUUGGGAUUCCGAGUCUGGGAAUAACUCUGUAUGGUGAUUCUGGUAUUGGGAGCACGAUCGGAAGUGAAUUCGGAGGUUCGUGGGUCGUUUUGGACUCAUUUGGCUAAAGAUAGAAAUUUAAAGGUUUUUGAGCAGUUUGACCAGGAGUGGACUUUUUGAUAUCGGGGUCGGAAUCCAAUUCCAGAAGUUGGAGUAGGUCAGUAAUGUCAAAUAUGACUUGUGUGCAAAAUUUGAGGUCAAUCGGACAUGAUUUGAUAAGUUUCGUCAUCGAAUGUAGAAGUUUGAAUUUCUAAAGUUCAUUAAGCUUGGAUUUGAGGUCUUGGAUUGGAGGUCGAUUCAUGAUUUUAGCAUUGUUUGAUAUAAUUUGAGGUCUCGAGCAAGUCCGUAAUGUGUUUUGGGACUGGUUGGUGUGAUUGGAUGGGGUCCCGGGGGCCUCGGGUGAAUUUCAGGUGGUUAACGGAUUGAAUUGGUGUUGGAAAGAAUGGCUGAAGCAGCUGAUAUCUGGUAUGACUGCACCUGUGAAGUUUUUGCCGCAGGUGCGGAGCCGCAAAAACGGCCAAUAGGACGCAGAUGCGGUGGUGAAGGGUGAAGGCUAGGACUGCAGAUGCGGUCAGGUCACCGUAUAAGCGGGACCGUACCUGCAGAAGAAGGAGAGCAGAAGCGGAAAUAGGCUGCUAACCCUGGACCACAGAAGCAGCAAUUGGUCCGCACCUACGGGACUGCAAAAACGGUCAAGAGACCGCAGGUGCGGAAGUGCUGGAGGCAGUAAGUUCUUUUAAAAAUCGAGGGUUGGUCAUUUUUUCCCCAUUUUCAUUUGGUGUGGACGAUUUUGGAGAGCUUCAAGUGGGGCUUUUCAUCAUCAAUGACAAGGUAAGCUAACCCCACCUAUCUUGAGUUAAAUAUAGUGAUUAUGUAUAGAUUUUAGCAGUAAAUUGGUAGAAAUUUGGGGGUUUGAGGAAAACCUAGGAAAUUCGUAUUAUUGGAUUUUGACCACGAUUUUGGGUAUGGAAUUAAGAGAAAAUCAUGUAUUUGAGUUCGUGAGUUCAUGGGUAAACUUUAUCUUUGAGAAAUUUCGGAAUCCGGGCACGUGGGCCCGAGGACAAUUUUGUCAACUUUUCGAUCGGGAUUAGUGUCACGACCCAGAUUUCCCACCCUCGGGAGUCGUGAUGGCGCCUACUAAUGUGAGCUAGGCAAGUCAAUUAUGUGAACAAUUUACUUUUUUUUUACCCAUUUUAUAUUCAUUAACAAUUGCGAAGUAAUAACAUUUAAACAGCGGAAUUUAACAUAAGCAAAAGAAAAAGCAAUAAGCUAGUUGAACAUGAAUCCAAUACAACUGUUUGAGUCUCGACUACCCAAAAUUGGUGUCACAAUUUCACAGACGGUCUAAGAAUACUACAAUUAAAGGUCUGAAAGAAAUAAAUAUAGCAAUGUCUCCGGAAAUACACGAAAGAAACAGGAAUAGUAUAUAGAAGGAGACGCCAAGGCCUGCGAACGUCUGCAAGUCUACCUCGGGUCGCCUGAUGAGCAAGAAUCAGCAAUCCCACUGCAGUUCGAAAUCUACAACACUGAGGUCUACACAAAAGAGUGCAGAGUGUAGUAUCAGCACAACCGACCCCAUGUGCUGGUAAGUGCCUAGCCUAACCUCGGCGAAGUAGUGAUGAGGCUAGGACCUGACUACCAAAUAAACCUGUGCAAUUUAACUAUAUACAACGGAAAAGAAGUACAGAAAGAAAUAGUCAUAUACAAUCAAGUAUGGGAGGGGGAAAACAUGUUGCGGGGAAACAUCGAAUAGUAACAGAAGAGAAAUAAAUAAAUAUGAGGAUCACCAUCAUUUCAAUUGAAAAUAGGAAGGGGAAAUCAUGUUGCGGGGUACAACAAGUAUCAACAGGAAACCAGCAAUUUAGUGUAGAGAAAUCGUAACACAGUUAUCAAUAAAAAUUAGGAAAUCAAAGAAAAGUGCACGGCAUCACCUUUCGUGCUUUUACUCUUUCUCACCAAACAAUACACGGCAUCACCCUUCGUGCUUUAACACUCUCUCACCAAAACAAUACACGGCAUCAUCCUUCGUGCUUUACACUCUUCCUCACCCAAACAACAAUCACAAGGCAAAUAGGGUAAGGGAAUCUAUAAUCUCGAAAUAAAAUCAAGCAACAACAGAAAAUCAGUAAAUAAACGUAAAGGACAACAUAACUCAAUUAUUAGCAAGAAUCAGGGAAAUCAAGGACAAGUGCACGGCAUCACCCUUCGUGCUUUUACACUCGCCCUCACCAUAAGAAUCAAUAUAAUAAGCAUAGAAUGGUACAUCGUGCGGCACGGCAUCACCCUUCGUGCUUUACACUCUUUCCUCACCGUGAAAUCAAUAUAAUAGGCACGGAAUGAUACAUCAUGUAGCACGGCAUCACCCUUCAUGCUUUACACUCUUUCCUCACCAUGAAAUAAAUAUAAUAGGCACGGAAUGGUACAUUGUGCGGCACGGCAUCACCUUCGUGCUUUAACUCUCUUCCUCACCCAAACAACAAUCACAAACAAAGGGGCAGGGGAAUAAACAAAAUAGUAAUAGAGAUCCCGGCAAGGGAACAACAGUUAAAUAAUUAAAUCCCGGCAAGGGAACAACAUCAAUAAUCUCAACAUCCCGGCAAGGGAGAUAAUCAACAAAGCAACAAUAUCCCGGCAAGGAGACAAUUUAUUAACUCUUUCUCUUUCUUUCACUUUUAUUUCAUAAUUCAUUUUACCGCUUGAGCUAAUGCUCCAAAGGGUUCAAUCAUCUCAUAUACUUUCACAAUUCAUAAUAUAACUUGAGCCAAUACUCCAAAGGGUUCAAUCAUCUCAUAUAAUUCCACAAUUCAUAAUAUAACUUGAGCCAAUUCUCCUCGAUGUUCAAAGGUUAUAAUUCCUUCCACAAACUUUCCACAAAAAUUAGAAAUCAUCACCAAGGCAUGAAAGAUACAACGAAAUCAAGAUCUUUAAAAUUUAAGAGUCACGGUCAUGCUAGACACCAACGUAUAGAUACUCGUCACCAUGCAUAUACGUCGUACUCAGCAAUUAUCACAUAGCAAAUAAGACUCAACUCCUAAUCCCUCAAGCUAAGGUUAGACCAAACACUUGCCUAAAAGCCUCGAACACAACUCAAGUUUCAAUUAUAGCUUUACCCCUUGAUUCCUCCGCCAAUUCGCUCGUAUCUAGCAAUAACUUACUUAGUUACAUCAAUAAACGCUAAAUGAAUCAAUUUGAAUGCAUGAAAAUGAGUUCUCCAAAGUUUUACCCAAAAAGUCAAAAUAGCCCUCGGGCCCACGUGGUCAAAACCCGAGGUUCAAACCAAAACACGAUUACCCAUUCCCCCCACGAACUCAAAUAUGUAAUUUGUUUUGAAAUCGGACCUCAAAUCGAGGUCCAAAUCUCCAAUUUUUGAAAACUCCUAAGUUCUACCCAAAACACCCAAUUUACCCAUGAAAAUCAUUGAUUUGAAGUUGAAAUCAUGUUAAAAGAUGUUAAAUAUUGAAGAAAACUAGUUAAAAACGACUUACAAUUGAUUUGGAGAAGAAAGGUUGUUUGAAAAAUCGCCUCUUAUGUUUAUGGGGUUUUGAAAAAUGAAAAUAACUGGAAAUCCCAUCUAUUUAUACCCCUCUCAGACCCCCUGUGCGGACCGCACAAAAUGGACUGCGGCCGCACAGGCCCUGAGGGUAUUGCGGUCCAGUGCCCUGUGCGGACCGCACGAAAUGGACUGCGGCGACACAGUCUCCACCGCACACCGCACAAAAGUGAUCGCAGACUGCACUGGCCCCCUUCCGCGGUCGAACACGUUUUUGUGCAGACCGCACUGGCGGGUUCAGAGACCUGCAACUUCUCGUUUUAAGUCUAAAACAUCCUGAACCUACCUAAACUCACCCGAGCCCUCGGAACUCCAAACCAAGUGCACACAAAACCUCAAAAACAUCAUACGGACUUAUUCGUGUAAUCAAAUCACCAAAAUAACAUCAUGAACAUCAAAUUAAACCUCGAGAUCAAUGAAAUUUCUCAAAACUUCUUUAAACAUCAAUUUUGCAAUUUAAGUCCGAAUCACGUCAAAGACAUCUAUUUUUCACCAAAUUCUACAGAAACGUCUUAAAUCAUAUAUAAGACCUGUACCGGGCGCCGGAACCAAAAAUACGGGCCCGAUACCAUCAUAUUCUAAGCAAAUUUCAUUUCAAAUUUCUUUAAACAAUUUCCUUUAAAUAUUCAUUUCUCGGGCUUGGGACCUCGAAAUUCGAUUCCGAGCAUACGCCCAAGUCCCAUAUUUUCCUAAAGACCCUCUAGGACCGUCAAAUUACGGGUCCGGGUCCGUUUACCCAAAACGUUGAUCGAAGUUAAAUUUAUUCAUUUUACAGUCAAAAUUUAUUAUUUUUCACAUUUAAGCUUUCCGGCUACGCGCCCGGACUGUGCACGCAAAUCAAGGUGGUUCAAAGGGAGGUUUUUAAGGCCUCGGAACGUAGAAUUUUAUUGCAAUGCAAGUAAUGACCUUUUGGGUCAUCACAUUCUCCACAUCUAAAACAAUCGUUCGUCCUCGAACGGACAGAAGAAGGAAGUACCUGAGUCGGGGAAAAGAUGGGGAUAACGACUCCGCAUAUCGGACUCAGACUCCCAGGUCGAUGCCUCAGGAGGAUGACCUUACCACUGAACACAAACAGAAGGAAAACUCUUCGAUCUCAACUUACGAACCUGCCGAUCUAGAAUAGUUAUCGGUUCCUCCUUAUAAGACAAGUCCUUGUCCAAAUGGACAGUGCUGAAAUCUAAUACGUGGGAUGGAUCGUCGUGAUAACCCCGAAGCAUGGACACAUGAAACACUGGAUGCACGGCUGAUAAGCUCGGCGGCAAAGCAAGUCUAUAAGCCACCUCUCGCAAUCGAUCAAGAAUCUCAAACGGGCCAAUGAACCUAGGGCAAAGCUUGCCCUUCUUCCCAAAUCUCAUCAAACCCUUCAUAGGCGACACUCAGAGUAAUACCCGCUCACCGAAGAUAAAAGCCACAUCUUGAACCUUGCGGUCUGCAAAACUCUUUUGCAUGGACUAAGUUGUACAAAGCCUAUCCUGAAUAAUCCUAACCUUGUCCAAGGCCUCCUGAACCAGAUCCGUACCCAACAACCGAGCCUCUCCAGGCUCAAACCAUCCAACCGGAGAUUGACACCGUCUACCAUAUAAAGCCUAAUAAGGAGCCAUUUGAAUACUCGGCUGGUAGUUGUUGUUGUAGGUAAACCCUACUAAAGGCAAAAACUGAUCCCACGGCUCGGAGCAUAUCCUCCAAAAUCUGAAUAGUCCGCUCGGACUGCCCGUCCGUCUGAGGAUGAAAUGUUGUACUCAACUCAACCUGAGUGCCCAACUCUUGCUAAACCGCUCUCCAGAAAUGCGAGGUAAACUGUGUACCUCUGUCCGAAAUGAUAAACACAGGCACACCAUGAAGACGAGCCAUCUCCCGGAUAUAGAUCUCAGCUAACCUCUUGGAUAAAUAGGAGACUGCCAUAGGAAUGAAAUACGUUGACUUGGUCAGCCUAUCAACAAUGACCCAUACUGCGUCGAACUUCUUCCGAGUCUGCGGAAGUUCAAUAAUGAAAUCCAUAGUAACCCGCUCCUACUUCCACUCAGGAAGCUCAAUCCUCUGAAAUAAACCACCAGGCCUCUGAUGCUCAUACUUAACCUGCUGACAAUUCAAACACCGAGCCACAUAUCCAACGAUGUCCUUCAUUCUAUACCACCAAUAAUAUUGCCGCAAAUCCUGGUACAUCUUCGCGGCACCCGAAUAAAUAGAGUACCGAGAACUAUGGGCCUCCUCUAAGAUAAACUCUCGGAGUCCAUCCACAUUAGGCACACAAACCCGACCCUACAAUCUCAAAACUCCAUCAUCAUCUAAGGCAACCUGCUUGGCACCUCCGCAUUGCAUCGUGUCUCUAAGGACACACAAAUGGGGAUCAUCCUACUGCCGAUCACGUAUACGCUCCAAUAAAGAAGAACGAGCGACCGUGCAAGCUAAUACCCGACAAGGCUCAGAAAUAUCCAACCUCACGAAUUGAUUGGCCAAAGCCUGAAUAUCCAAUGCUAGCGGUCUCUCACCGACCGGAAUAUAAGCAAGACUGCCUAUACUGGCUAACUUUCUACUCAAAGCAUCGGCCACCACAUUGUCUUUUCCCGGAUGAUAUAAAAUUGUGAUAUCAUAAUCUUUCAACAACUCCAACCACCUCCUCUACCUCAAAUUCAACUCCUUUUACUUGAACAAAUACUGAAGACUCUUGUGAUCCGUGAACACCUCACAUGCCACGCCAUAUAGAUAAUGCCUCCAAAUCUUCAACACGUGGACAAUGGCUGCCAACUCCAAAUCAUGAACUGGAUAGUUCUUCUCAUGAAUCUUCAACUUCCGCGAAGCAGAGGCAAUGACCUUGCCAUCCUGCAUCAAUACUGCAUCGAGUCCAAUACAAGAUGCAUCACAAUAGACUAUAUAAGGCCUUGAACCUGUGGGCAAUACCAACACCGGUGUCGUAGUCAGAGCUAUCUUGAGCUUCUGAAAGCUCUCCUCACACUCGUCCGACCAUCUGAACUGGGCACCCUUCUGGGUCAACCUAGUCAUCAGGGCUGCGAUAGUUGAGAACCCCACCACGAACCGACGAUAGUAGCCUGCCAAUCCCAAGAAACUCCGAAUCUCUGUAGAUAAUGCUGGUCUAGGCCAGUUCUUGACUGCCUCAAUAUUCUUCGGGUCAACCUGAAUACCCUCCGCUGAUACCACAUGACCCAGGAAUGCAACUGAACUCAACCAGAACUGACACUUCGAGAACUUAGCAUAUAACUGACUAUCCCUCAAGGUUUGAAGAACCACUCUAAGAUGUUGCUCGUGCUCCUCCCAGCUACGGGAAUAUAUUAAAAUAUCAUCAAUGAAGACUAUCAUGAAUGAGUCCAAGUAAGGCCUGAACACUCGGUUCAUCAAAUCCAUAAAAGUUGUUGGGGCAUUUGUCAACCUGAAUGACAUCACCAAGAACUUAUAAUGCCCAUACCGAGUGCAGAAAGCUGUGUUAGGGACAUCGGAUGCCCUAAUCCUCAACUGAUGGUAGCCAGAUCUCAACUCAAUCUUCGAAAAUACUUUGGUACCAUGAAGCUAAUCAAACAAAUAAUCAAUCAUCAGCAAUAGAUACUUAUUCUUGAUUGUAACCUUGUUCAACUGUCGGUAGUCAAUACACAUUCUCAUUGAUCUGUCCUUCUUCUUAACAAACAACACCAGCGCACCCCAAGGUGAAACACUUGGCCUAAGGAAACCNNNNNNNNNNNNNNNNNNNNNNNNNNNNNNNNNNNNNNNNNNNNNNNNNNNNNNNNNNNNNNNNNNNNNNNNNNNNNNNNNNNNNNNNNNNNNNNNNNNNNNNNNNNNNNNNNNNNNNNNNNNNNNNNNNNNNNNNNNNNNNNNNNNNNNNNNNNNNNNNNNNNNNNNNNNNNNNNNNNNNNNNNNNNNNNNNNNNNNNNNNNNNNNNNNNNNNNNNNNNNNNNNNNNNNNNNNNNNNNNNNNNNNNNNNNNNNNNNNNNNNNNNNNNNNNNNNNNNNNNNNNNNNNNNNNNNNNNNNNNNNNNNNNNNNNNNNNNNNNNNNNNNNNNNNNNNNNNNNNNNNNNNNNNNNNNNNNNNNNNNNNNNNNNNNNNNNNNNNNNNNNNNNNNNNNNNNNNNNNNNNNNNNNNNNNNNNNNNNNNNNNNNNNNNNNNNNNNNNNNNNNNNNNNNNNNNNNNNNNNNNNNNNNNNNNNNNNNNNNNNNNNNNNNNNNNNNNNNNNNNNNNNNNNNNNNNNNNNNNNNNNNNNNNNNNNNNNNNNNNNNNNNNNNNNNNNNNNNNNNNNNNNNNNNNNNNNNNNNNNNNNNNNNNNNNNNNNNNNNNNNNNNNNNNNNNNNNNNNNNNNNNCCAGCGCACCCCAAGGUGAAACACUUGGCCUAAGGAAACCCUUCUCAAGCAAGUCUUACAACUAUUUCUUCAACUCUUUCAACUCCGACGGGGUUAUAGGAUACGGCGGAAUAGAAAUGGGUUGAGUGCCCGGAGCCAAAUCAAUGCAAACGUCAAUAUCCCUAUCGAGUGGCAUACUCGGCAGGGCUGAAGGAAAAACCUCAGGGAACUCACGAACAAUGGGCACAGAAUCAGUAGAAGGAACCACAACACUAGAAUCAUCUACAUGUGUCAAAUAAGCCAAACACCCCUUCUCGACCAUACACCGAGCCUUCACAUAAGAGAUAACACUACUGGUAGAAUGACUAGGAGUCCCUCUCCACUCUAAAUGAGGCAACCCGGUAAAUCGAAGGUCACAGUCUUGGCAUGACAAUCCAAGAUCGCGUGGUAAGGUGAUAACCAAGGUGAUAACCAGUCUAUCCCUAAUAUAUCAUCAAAAUCGACCAUGUCCAGAAAUGACAAAUCUACACGAGUCUUAAGACCCCCAAUCACAACUAUACAAGAGCGAUGGACUCGAUCUACCACAAUAGAAUCACUUACCGGUGUAGACACAUAAACAGGAGCACUCAAUAAAUCACUAGGCAUGAUCAGAUAUGGUGCAAAAUAAAACCGAAGCUUCCCUACCAUAAACCAGAACAGUACCUGAACCUCUACCUCUAAUACCUUUACCUCCACCUCUAACAUCUCUACCUCUACCUCUAAUACCUCUACCUUCACCUCUAAUACCGCUACCUCCACCUCCAGCUAACUGAGCGGGCUGGACGAGUCCCUCAGUGAACCUCUUCACUCUCUCUCAUAGUGGGAAGUAUGAUAAGAGCAUGACAUUCCAAGUCGAUGAAUCUGAUCUCGUACUGAAUAACAGUCAUAGAACCCUGCCGGAGACGCUCAAACAGUCUCCGAUAGACCUCUCUCUGAGUGAUGUGGAGAAACUCCUCCAGAAAUAGCUGAGUAAACUGUUCCCAAGUCAAAGCUGGUGAUCCGGCUGGUCUAGCCAAAUAGUAAUCCCUCCACCAAGUCUUGGCAGAUCCAGACGAGCGAAAAGUAGAAAAAUCGACCCCAUUAUUCUCCACGAUCCCCAUAUUCCUAAGAACCUCGUGAUAGCGGCCUAGAUAAUCUUGGGGAUUCUCAGAAGAUGCAUCGCUAAAAGUAGUGGUGAAGAGCUUGGUGAAAAUUAUCCAACCUUUAUAAAGCCUCCAAAGACGUAGCUGAUCAAUCACCGGUCUGUGCUGCUACUCGGCUGAAGAAGCGGUACAUGACCUCGCCAUCCGCGAAAGGACAAGAGUUGGGGUUUCAAUUUAGCACUGAGAGAACAAAAUCGCACGACAGGAAAGAAUGAAUGUAAAGUUUUUCCUAACUCUGUAGCCUCUGGGGAUAAAUACAGACGUCUCUGUACCGAUCCCUCAGACUCUACUAAGCUUGUCUGUGAACUGUGAGACCCAUGUAACCUAGAGCUCUGAUACCAACUUGUCACAACCCGGAUUUUCCACCCUCGGGAGUCGUGAUAGCGCCUACUAAUAUAAGCUAGGCAAGCCAAUUAUGUGAACAAUUUACUUUUUUUUACCCAUUUUAUAUUCAAUAACAAUUGCGAAGUAAUAACAUUUAAACAACAGAAUUUAACAUAAGAGGAAGAAAAAGCAAUAAGCUAGCUGAACAUGAAUCCAAUACAACUAUUUGAGUCUCGACUACCCAGAACUAGUGUCACAGUUUCAUAGACGGUCUAAUAAUACUACAAUUAAAGGUCUAAAAGAAAUAAAUACAACACUGUCUCUGGAAAUACACAAAAGAAAUAGGAAUAGUAGAUAGAAGGAGACGCCAAGGCCUGCGGACGCCUGCAAGACUACCUCAGUUCGCCUGAUGAGCAAGAAUCAGCAAUCCCACUACGGUCCGAAAUCUCCAACACUAGGGUCUGGUAUCAGCACAACCAACCCCAUGUGUUGGUAAGUGCCUAGCCUAACCUCGACGAAGUAGUGACGAGGCUAGGACCAGACUACCAAAUAAACCUGUACAAUUUAACUAUAUACAGCGGAAAAGAAGUACAGAAAGAAAUAGUCAUAUACAGUCAAGUAUGGGAAGGGGAAAACAUGAUGCGGGGAAACAUCAAGUAGUAAUAGAAGAGCAACAAAUAAAUAUGAGGAUCACCACAGUUCAAUUGAAAUAGGAAGGGGAAAUCAUGUUGCGGGGUACAACAAGUAUCAACAAGAAACCAACAAUUUAGUGUAGAGAAAUCGUAAGACAGUUAUCAAUAAAAAUUAGGAAAUCAAAGACAAGUGCAUGGCAUCACCCUUCGUGCUUUUAUUCUCUCUCACCAAACAAUACACGGCAUCACCCUUCGUGCUUUAACACUCUCUCACCAAAACAAUACACGGCAUCAUCCUUCAUAUUUCACGCUCUUCCUCACCCAAACAACAAUCACAAGGCAAAUAGGGUAAGGGAAUCUAUAAUCUCGAAAUAAAAUCAAGAACCAACAGAAAAUAAGUAAAUAAACGUAAAGGACAACAUAACUCAAUUAUCAGCAAGAAUCAGGAAAAUCAGGGACAAGUGCACGGCAUCACCCUUCGUGCUUUUACUUUCGCCAUCACCAUGGGAAUCAAUACAAUAGGCACUGAAUGGUACAUCGUGCGGUACGGCAUCACCCUUCGUGAUUUACACUCUUUCCUCACCAUGAAAUCAAUAUAAUAGGCACGGAAUGGUACAUCGUGUGGCACGGCAUCACCCUUCAUGCUUUACACUCUUUCCUCACCAUGAAAUCAAUAUAAUAGGCACGGAAUGGUACAUCGUGUGGCACAGCAUCACCCUUCGUGCUUUAACUCUCUUCCUCACCCAAACAAUAAUCACAAACAAAGGGGCAAGGGAAUUAAAACAAAAUAGUAAUAGAGAUCCCCGGCAAGGGAANNNNNNNNNNNNNNNNNNNNNNNNNNNNNNNNNNNNNNNNNNNNNNNNNNNNNNNNNNNNNNNNNNNNNNNNNNNNNNNNNNNNNNNNNNNNNNNNNNNNNNNNNNNNNNNNNNNNNNNNNNNNNNNNNNNNNNNNNNNNNNNNNNNNNNNNNNNNNNNNNNNNNNNNNNNNNNNNNNNNNNNNNNNNNNNNNNNNNNNNNNNNNNNNNNNNNNAGGACAAUUUAUUAACUCUUUCUCUUUCUUUCACUUUUAUUUCAUAACUCAUUUUACCGCUUAGGCAAUGCUCCAAAGGGUUCAAUCAUCUCAUAUACUUUUACAAUUCAUAAUAUAACUUGAUCCAAUUCUCCAAAUGGUUCAAUCAUCUCAUAUACUUCCACAAUUCAUAAUAUAACUUGUGUCAAUGCUCAUCGGUGUUCAAAAGUUAUAAUUCCUUCCACAAACUUUCCACAACAAUUAGAAAUCAUCACCAAGGCAUGAAAGAUACAAUGAAAUCAAGAUCUUCAAAAUUUAAAGACGCACGGUCAUGCUAGACACCAACGUAUAGAUACUCGUCACCAUGCCUAUACGUCGUACUCAAUAAUUACCACGUAGCAAAUAAGACUCAAUUCCUAAUCCCUCAAGCUAAGGUUAGACCAAACACUUACCUCAGUACCUCGAACACAACUCAAGUUUCAAUUAUAGCUUUACCCCUUGAUUCUUCUGCUAAUUCACUCGUAUCUAGCUACAAGUUACAUAAUUACAUCAAUAAAUGCUAAAUGAAUCAAUUUGAAUGCAUGAAAAUGAGUUCUCCAAAGUUUUACCCAAAAUGUCAAAAUCGCCCCCGGGCCCACGUGGUCAAAACCCGACGUUCGAACCAAAACACGAUUACCCAUUCCCCCCACGAACUCAAAUAUGUAAUUUGUUUUGAAAUCGGACCUCAAAUUGAGGUCCAAAUCUCCAAUUUUUGAAAACUCCAAGGUUCUACCCAAAACACCCAAUUUACCCAUGAAAAUCAUUGAUUUGAAGUUGAAAUCAUGUUAAAAGAUGUUAAAGAUUGAAGAAAACUAGUUAAAAUGACUUACAAUUGAUUUGGAGAAGAAAGGUUGUUUGAAAAAUCGCCUCUUAUGUUUAUGGGAUUUUGAAAAAUGAAAAUAACUGGAAAUCCCGUCUAUUUAUACCCCUCUCAGACCCCCUGUGCGGACUGCACAAAAUGGACUGCGGCCUCACAGACCUUCCUGAGGGUACUGCGGUCCAGUGCCCUGUGCGGACCGCACGAAAUGGACUGCGACCACACAGGCCUCCACCGCGCACCGCACGAAAGUGACCGUGGACCGCAUUGUCCCCCUUCCGCGGUCGCACACAUUUUUGUGCAGACCGCACUUGCGGGUUCAGAGACCUGCAACUUCUCGUUUUAAGUCUAAAACAUCCCGAACCUACCCGAAACUCACCCGAGCUCUUGGAACUCCAAACCAAGUGCACAUAAAACCUCAAAAACAUCCAACGGACUUAUUUGUGUAAUCAAAUCACCAAAAUAAUAUCAUGAACAUCAAAUUAAACCUCGAGAUCACUGAAAUUUCUCAAAACUUCUUUAAACAUCAAUUUUGCAAUUUAAGUCCGAACCACGUCAAAUGACAUCCGUUUUUCACCAAAUUCAACAAAAACAUCUUAAAUCAUAUAUAAGACCUAUACCGGGCGCCGGAACCAAAAAUACGGGCCCGAUACCAUCAAGUUCUAAGCAAAUUUCAUUUCAAAUUUCUUUAAACAAUUUCAGAAAACAAUUUCCUUUAAAAAUUCGUUUCUUGGGCUUGGGACCUCGAAAUUUGAUUCUGGGCAUAUGCCCAAGUCCCAUAUUUUCCUACGGACCCUCCGGGACCGUCAAAUCAUGGGUCCGGGUCCGUUUACCCAAAAUGUUGACCAAAGUCAAAUUUAUUCAUUCUACAGUCAAAACUUAUCAUUUUUCACAGAUUUUCACAUUUAAGCUUUCCGGCUACAUGCCUGGACUGCACAUGCAAAUCAAGGUGGUUCAAAUUGAGGUUUUUAAGGGCUCAAAACGUAGAAUUUUAUUGCAACUCAAGGGGUUAUCACAAUUAGGAAUUUUUAUAAAUUGGAUUAUAAUGAGUAAUUGAACAUAUACUAAUGGAUUUGCAUAAUUAUUGGCUAGUUUUGGAGCAUUUAGCAUCGAUUCGAGUCUCCGGAAGGGUGUGGAAUGCCGGUUGUGGAUCUUCGACGCAAGGUGAGUCUCCUUUCUAACCUUGUAAGAGGGAAUUGUCCCCAUAGGUGAAAUAAUUGGUUAUGUGCUCCUAUUUGAGGGGGCUACGUACGCACGAGGUGACAAGAGUCCGUGCGUAGCUACUAAUAUGUGUAAGUCUGGGUAGUAUAGGACCUAAAAGCAUGCUAUACUUGGAAUAUCUAUAAUCUUAUUGACAUUGAAUUUCUUAAAUCCUAUUGAAUUGGUAAAUGAAUUUCCAAAAGGAUUGAACUUCAUUUUCUUAAAUCGUUAAAAGAGAAUUAGCUUUUAUUUGGAUAAAUGCUCCCCGAUAAAUUCUUGAUUGGUUGUUUGAGAAUGUAUUUCUAUGUGUACCUGCGUCGCAUGUAUGAUUCGCGAUCAGGAUGAUUGUUUAUUUAAAUUUGACUGCAUCUCAUGUAUGAUUCGCGAGCGUGGUAAUAGAUGCAUCUAUGGUUCGCGUCGUUCGACCCUCGGCAGUGCACAUUUUACAUUUAUGUUGGAUCGGUCGUACGACCUUGGCAUAAUUUCCUCAUGCUUGUAUUGCUUGCCUGGAGAUUUAUUGAUAUUGAUGUUUGCUCUCCCCGACUUGAGAUAAUUGUUAAUUAAUAGAUUAUGAAUCCUGAGACUUUUAAUAUAAAAAGGAACUUUUACCUGUUCGUGACUUACUUGAAAUUACUGUCAUUCUUAAUAAAUCCAUGACUACUCGCAUUAAAAUUAUAUUACUAUUGGACCACUAGUAAAUGUCGAAGUCGACCUCUUGCCUCUACUUCUUCGAGAUUAGACGGGAUACUCAUUGGGUACAUAUUAUUUUCGUACUCAUACUACAUUUGCUGUGCAUUUUUGUUGCACAUGUUUAUGUGUGGCUAGUGGCAUAGCGGCAUGGUUUAUACGGAGACUCAGGCGAGUUGCAUUUAUCGAGAUGACCGUAGCCAGCAGAGUCUCCUUCAGAGUAUUUUCCUGUAUUUUCAUUUCUGUCCAUUUGUAUUCCAGACAGUUACUGUAUUUUAUUUCAUUCCUAGUAAAUGCUCAUGCACUUGUGACACCAGGUUCUGGGAUGAUUAUGGGGUAUCUUGUAUUAACUUCUUAACAUUUAUAUUUGAUUUGAAACGAUUAUCUUUUACUGUUAAAAUUGAAGGAAAAUCAUAGUUUUUAAAAUUAUUAAAACGAGAAUUUAAUUAAGUGUCUUGGUUGGCUUUCCUGACAGCGGUGUCCGGCGUCAUCACGACCCUUAGUAGAUUUUGGGUCGUGACUUACUAUUAGUGAUACAUUUUCUUAAGUCCGUAGAUGAUUUUCUUUAUUAAAAUUUAUUCUUGAGAUUGUAGAGUUUGUUCUUUGGGAACUAUUUCUUGAAGGACGGAUUGAAUGAUACUAUCUUUGAUCCAAAUUUCCUUUCUUGAAUAAUGUCAGGCAUAGAAAGCUGCUCGUGAGCAUUGAUAAUAACUAUUAGAGGAAUAUCAAUAUGUUCCUCUUCAAAGACAAAUUCCUUAACUAAUUCCUCCCCCACAAACUCAACAUCCUCAAGGAACCUCAUAUUAUUAGAAAAAGUAGCCUUAGUAGCGAGAUAAAAAUUCUGAAAAAUUGAGGGGAUAGAAAAUAUUAUUGGACAGAAGUCUGUUAAUUCUCCUUUAGAGAUAUGACCUAAUCUCUCGUAUCAUAAAGAAGUUCUCUACUUAAUGGUUAACUUACCCUUAUUACCAGUUAUGUUAACAUGCAAGGUUCAUUGGACGAAGCAAUCAUAUCAAGUAAGUAUAGAUUAUUGUAACCUGAUAAAGAACCGGGACCAACUAAUUUUGAAUUAUGAAGAGACUAUUUUUUUCAAAAAAAUAAAUAAAAACAAACUAUAGAUUAGGAAAAAAACCAAAUUUCCUUUCUUGAAUAAUAAAAAUAACCAAACUUGUCUAGUACAGAAACAAAAAUCAAAUCCCAUCAAAGAAAUGGUGCAACAUAAGUCUCGUUCAAAUUCAACUAAAACUGGCUCUUAACAAUAAUCUAAAAGUUCCAAUUGCUUCGAAUUCUACCGACUUUCCAUCACAAUCGUAGAUGUAUCUUUCACCAUCAUCAGGCUUUCGAUAGUUUAGGCAACCCUGCAUAGACACAGUGAUGUGAAUUGUUUUACCAGAAUCUAUCCACCAUCUGUGUCUUGGUACUGAAGUCAAAUUAGUCUUAGAACAAAUAAAAUUAAUAGGUGUACCUUUCUUUGCACGCCAUGCGUGAUAGUUGGUACAAUCCUUCUCUGUAUGACCUUCAGCUUUAAAAAAGAAACAAUCAUCUGUCGUUGGUUCCUGAUGUUGUUCCUUUUGUGUUGAUUUAUCUACAACUUUCUUAUUCUUUCUAUUCUUGUCUUUCCUUGUCCUUAGGCACAUCGACUAAGUGAGAACUUUAUAUCUUUUCCCUCUUUAAUCUAUCCUCUUCCUAAACACAGUGUGAGAUGAGCUUAUUUAGAGACCAUGUCUCUUUUUAACAAUUAUAGCUCACCUUAAACUGGCUAAACUGUGGUGGACGGGAUAUCAAAAUCAAAUGAACUAGAUUUUCAACUUAGAAGCAAUAUGAGACAUUUGCAUAUGUACUCCCUGAUGUUACCUUUGCCUUGAUAACUCAUUGAAGUCAGACUUGUCAAGAGUGUACCUGUAAUGACCCAACCGAUCAUUUUGAGUAUUUGCACUUUGUUCGGUAGUUUGAGGGUAUGAGUAGCUUUGUAUGAUGUAUUAUGACUUGUGUGAAUCAUUGAUUUUGGUUUUCAGGUUAUUCUGAAUCGAUAUGGAAGAAUGAAUUUCAUGAUUGAAGCAGUUAGAAGACUUGACUAUGUUUGACUUUUUUAGUAUUUGAUGUCAGUUUGAAGUUUUGGUGAUUCAAUUAGCUCUGAAUGGUGAUUUUAGACUCGUACGUAUGCCCGGACCUGCAUUGGGAUGUUUCUAGAAGGUUUCGGUGCAAAUUGGCGAAAGUUGAAAUUUGAAGGUUUGAAAAGUUCAUAAGUUUGACCGAGAGUUAACUUUGAUGAUGUCAUAUCCGAAUUGCGGUUACGAGAAUUGGAAUAGCUUUGUUAUGUAGUUUGGGAAUUUUAUGCAAAAUUUGGGUUCAUUCUGGGUUGAUUUGAUAUGUUUUGGCACGAGUUUUGAAAGUUGAAAGUCCAAAGUUCAAUUAAGUUUGAAUUGAGGUGGGAUUCGUCGUUUCGAUGUUGUUAUGUGUGAUUUGAGGCCUCGAGUAAGUCCAUGUUACAUUAUGGGACUUGUUGAUAUGUUUGGAUGGUGUCUUGGGACUCGUGUGAGUUUCAGAUAGGUAUGAGUUGUGUUGCGCUCGUUUUUUUAUGUUUCGACGUCGUUUCUUCAAGUAUAAAUGGUACCACAUUAAGCAAAUGAGCUUCAAUAUUUGUUUUGAUUGAAGCAUUAGAUCUAUAUUGUAAUUUUGGA
rnacentral:lncRNA from 1 species